rnacentral:rRNA from 1 species
GAUGAACGCUAGCGGCAGGCCUAAUACAUGCAAGUCGAACGAUACUUYUCAGCUUGCUGAAGAGGAAAGUGGCGCACGGGUGCGUAACGCGUAUGCAACCUACCUUAAUCAGGGGGAUAGCCCGAAGAAAUUCGGAUUAACACCGCAUAAAAUCACAGCACAGCAUUGUGUAAUGAUCAAAUAUUUAUAGGAUUAAGAUGGGCAUGCGUGACAUUAGUUAGUUGGCGGGGUAACGGCCCACCAAGACCACGAUGUCUAGGGGAUCUGAGAGGAUGACCCCCCACACUGGUACUGAGACACGGACCAGACUCCUACGGGAGGCAGCAGUAAGGAAUAUUGGUCAAUGGAGGCAACUCUGAACCAGCCAUGCCGCGUGCAGGAAGACAGCCCUCUGGGUCGUAAACUGCUUUUAUUCGGGAAUAAACCUAUUUACGUGUAAAUAGCUGAAUGUACCGAAGGAAUAAGGAUCGGCUAACUCCGUGCCAGCAGCCGCGGUAAUACGGAGGAUCCAAGCGUUAUCCGGAUUUAUUGGGUUUAAAGGGUGCGUAGGCGGCUUUUUAAGUCAGGGGUGAAAGACGUUAGCUCAACUAUCGCAGUGCCCUUGAUACUGAAGA